AGUGAACGCUGGCGGUAGGCCUAACACAUGCAAGUCGAACGGCAGCACAGAGGAGCUUGCUCCUUGGGUGGCGAGUGGCGGACGGGUGAGGAAUACAUCGGAAUCUACUCUGUCGUGGGGGAUAACGUAGGGAAACUUACGCUAAUACCGCAUACGACCUACGGGUGAAAGCAGGGGAUCUUCGGACCUUGCGCGAUUGAAUGAGCCGAUGUCGGAUUAGCUAGUUGGCGGGGUAAAGGCCCACCAAGGCGACGAUCCGUAGCUGGUCUGAGAGGAUGAUCAGCCAAACUGGAACUGAGACACGGUCAGACUCCUACGGGAGGCAGCAGUGGGGAAUAUUGGACAAUGGGCGCAAGCCUGAUCCAGCCAUACCGCGUGGGUGAGGAAGGCCUUCGGGUUGUAAAGCCCUUUUGUUGGGAAAGAGAUCCAUCUGGUUAAUACCCGGGUGGGAUGACGGUACCCAAAGAAUAAGCACCGGCUAACUUCGUGCCAGCAGCCGCGGUAA
rnacentral:rRNA from 1 species